rnacentral:lncRNA from 1 species
GCUGGCUGUAGCUCCUCCCAGUCUCUCACACAGGUAGCUGUGUUGGGGCCAGGAAAGUUGCCAGGCACCAGGAAACCUGAAGCCAAGUUGAGAAGAAAGGGCUAGAAGCCCUGAAGUGCUCGAAAAGGGACAGGCAUUCAGAGGUCUGCUAUAGAAGAGGAUCACACAAGACUCCCAGGCCACAGUAAGAUCUGGGCAUUUCUCGAAGGCUUGACAGCUGGAAGUCCCAUUGAACAUUCUCAUUGCCUAUGUUACAUUUGGAGCCUAUAGACGGCUUACUGGCCUUGGCAGGGGUGCACUGGAUUUAUCUGAGACAACAAGGCCCCGAGGGUGCAGACAGCUGAUCUAUAUUCAGCCGUAAGAAAUAAAGAGAAACAUGGAUUCCCAAGUUUUCCUUGAUGGUCACAGCUAUCACUGCACAACAUCACAACUAGAAGUUGCAUCUAGAAACUCCAACCUGCAGCCAGAGCCAGGUUACAGGUGACUGGGACUGGAGCCAUGACUCAACAGCUAGGAGCACUGUUCAUACAGAGGACCUGGGUUCAAUCCCCAACACCCACGUGGAGGUUCAUAGUCAAAUGUAACUCCAGUUCCAGGGGACCCAACACUCCCCUAGCCUCCACAGGCAUGGUACACAAAUACAGACAAAACACCCAUACACACAAAAUAAACUUAACCCCCCUCCAAUAAACGGAGGCCCACACACUGCACACACAUUGGUCCAGAGGUCAUAAGGUUCCAAGUAAAGUUCUCCUUUACUGACCUAAGUGUCACUUUACAUGGCUUUCCUGCCUGUGGACUGGCUCCCCUGGCCAGAGUAAGACAUCCUGGGCUUGGGCAGGGCUGCAAGCUCAAGGUUGUCAGUCCUACAGUUAGCUCUAACUCACUCCCUGCAGCCUGGCAAGUAUUUUCUACCACACCUGCCCUUGCCCACUCCCCAAGCCCCUGGUCUUUUUGAAAGGGUUUGACUUUUUGACUGUCCAAGUACUUGCUUUGUAGACCAAGGUGACCUCGAACUCAGAGAUCCACCUGCCUCUGCCUCCCGAGCACUGGGAUUAAAGGCUGUACCACUCACUAGAUACUAUGGUGAGCUUCUUUAAGUGAGGCCUGUGGGUCCUGGCAGAGGUUGUC